AUCGCCAUUGUUGUGAUUAUCAUACUGCUAUCACACUGCUACUUUCCUGCUGCUAUUUGCCUCCUGUUUUGCUCAUCUUCGCUUGUGAACACCAUGAGCGCAUACUCCCAAGGUAGUAGACAGGUAGCCCUCCCCUCGCUGGAGAUGUACCAGAUAGUAGCCUUCGUCUUCAGCUGAUGUGAAUGAUAGUCCAUCGCGCCUGUAAUAAACACGUAUCAGUGAAAUGUAAUAAAAUCCUACAGUGAA